GGUGCCGAGCGGGUCAAAUCGAUAACACCGCCCGAUCCCUAGUCGGCAUAGUUUAUGGUUAAGACUACGACGGUAUCUGAUCGUCUUCGAUCCCCUAACUUUCGUUCACUGAUUAAUGAAAACAUCCUUGGCAAAUGCUUUCGCAGUAGUUAGUCUUCAAUAAAUCCAAGAAUUUCACCUCUGACAAUUGAAUACUGAUGCCCCCGACUGUCCCUAUUAAUCAUUACGGCGGUCCUAGAAACCAACAAAAUAGGACCGCACGUCCUAUUCUAUUAUUCCAUGCUAACGUAUUCGAGCAAAGGCCUGCUUUGAACACUCUAAUUUUUUCAAAGUAAAAGUCCUGGUCCCCAACACGCCCAGUGAAGGGCAUGCGGUUCUCCAGAAGAGAAGGCCCGGCCGGACAAGUGCACGCGGUGAGGCGGACCCACCAGCCAGGCCAAAGAUUCAACUACGAGCUUUUUAACUGCAACAACUUUAAUAUACGCUAUUGGAGCUGGAAUUACCGCGGCUGCUGGCACCAGACUUGCCCUCCAAUUGUUCCUCGUUAAGAGGUUUAAAUUGUACUCAUUCCAAUUACAAGACCCAAAAGAGCCCUGUAUCAGUAUUUAUUGUCACUACCUCCCCGUGUCGGGAUUGGGUAAUUUGCGCGCCUGCUGCCUUCCUUGGAUGUGUGAGCCGUUUCUCAGGCUCACUCUCCGGAAUCGAACCCUAAUUCCCCGUUACCCGUUGAAACCAUGGUAAGCCAAUACCUUACCAUCGAAAGUUGAUAGGGCAGAAAUUUGAAUGAACCGUCGCCGGCGCAAGGCCGUGCGAUCUGAGAGGUUAUCAUGAAUCACCAAGGA
rnacentral:rRNA from 1 species